rnacentral:rRNA from 1 species
UACGGAGGGUGCGAGCGUUGUCCGGAAUCACUGGGCGUAAAGGGCGCGUAGGCGGCCUGAUAAGUAGGGGGUGAAAUCCUGCGGCUUAACCGCAGGGCUGCCUUCUAAACUGUCGGGCUUGAGCACAGUAGAGGCAGGUGGAAUUCACGGUGUAGCGGUGAAAUGCGCAGAUAUCAGGAGGAACACCGGUGGCGAAGGCGGAUCUCUGGGCCUUACCUGACGCUGAGGCGCGAAAGCUAGGGGAGCAAACAGG